AUUGAACGCUGGCGGCAGGCCUAACACAUGCAAGUCGAGCGAGCGGCGGACGGGUGAGUAAUGUAUGGGGACUGCCCGAUAGAGGGGGAUCACUACUGGAAACGGUGGCUCAUACCGCAUACUAUCGGAUAACCCAUAUGGGAUUAGCUAGUAGGUAAGGUAAUGGCUUACCUAGGCGACGAUACCUAGCUGGUCUGAGAGGAUGAUCAGCGAAACUGGGACUGAGACACGGCACAGACUCCGACGGAGGCAGCAGUAGGGAAUAUUGCACAAUGGGCGCAAGCCUGAUGCAGCCAUGCCGCGUGUAUGAAGAAGGCCCUAGGGUUGUAAAGUACUUUCAGUCGGGAGGCGUUACCGACAGAAGAAGCACCGGCUAACUCCGUGCCAGCAGCCGCGGUAAUUC
rnacentral:rRNA from 1 species